AGUGUGCUGUUUCUAGAUCAACAAUUUAUGAUAUUUAUUGAGCACCUGCAAUGUGUCCAGCUUUGUGCUUGGUGAUGUGAAGGCAAGAGAUGUAAGGACCUGGUUUCUAAUCUUCAAAAAAGUCUACACUGUGGUUGAAGUGAAACACAAAGAGAGUUUUUGCCUCCGAAAUGACAAGCAGAGAACCACAAGGCAAUGUUGAGAUGCAGAGGGUGGCAGUUUCCCUCCUAGCAGAGUGACUCACUCAUGCCUCCACUCCAGGGUGCAGGGCUUAGAUUCAUGACAGGGACCUCAUCAAAUAACCAGGAAAGAUUAAUCACCUGAGAAGAGAAGAGACUGGGAAUCUUCACCCUGCCCAGACAGACUUUUCAUCUAUUCUCCUGAGAGCAGCUCCAAGAGAUUACCUGUGGGACUCAAUUUGCAUAAUAAGAUGACCUUUGUUCCUGUGCAGUUCCACCCCUCACCUUCCCAUAAUGUCUGCCUCCCACCUCCCAGAAAUCAUACUCAGUUGGUUUAAUGGUAGAGUUAAAGGCCAAAUCUGCCAUAUAGUUAAAGGCCAAAUCUGCCGUGAAGCCAGGAGAAAGGAUCCAGCAUACAAACCAUGACAGAAUACACACACAUUUUGGAGAUGCAUGCUUUCUCAAAGCUCUGAGGACCAUCAUGAAGACAUAUUAACUGAAAGAAUACAAAGCGAUGUGAAUAGUUCCUAACUAUUGGAGACUAUACAAGAAGCAUGACACCAAACUGUGGUUGUCUUCUGGUGAAGAUCUCAGAAGUUUCCACUCAUGGCAAAAGGUAGAUAAAGAAGGAGCUAAUGAAGAAAAAGAAACAAGCUGUCAAGCGGUGGGAAGGGAACCAGGAAAACACAGCAUCAUGUCAGACAAUAAAAUAGUGUAAUUUCAAGAAUGAACAGUGGCCAAUAGCCCAUUGGCUGCAGAAGAAUCAAAGAGCAGGAGAAACAGGAAAAGGCCUUUAACUUUGUGAUUAGGAUGUCAAAGGACCAAAAUGGCAUCUUCUGGCCUUGGCACCUCAGAGACACUGCUCCUCGCACAGAGUGGCAGGACAAGAGGACUUCAUCCUGCCAUGGGUCCAGAUUUUGUGGGAGGGGACAAAAUAAAGCUUUGACAGGAGUUAUGAGGAAGAAAAUAAUCAUCUUAAAGCUCAUAAUGAGAUAAGGGAAAACUGGAAUACUUUCCCCCUUAGUCUAUUUUAGAAGAAAAUAAAGUGCUUUCUAACACCCUUUAACAAC
rnacentral:lncRNA from 1 species